rnacentral:rRNA from 1 species
CCUACGGGCGGCAGCAGUGGGGAAUAUUGGGCAAUGGACGCAAGUCUUACCCAGCAACGCCGCGUGAAGGAAGAAGGCCUUCGGGUUGUAAAGUUCUUUUAUUAGGGACGAAAAAAGUGACGGUACCUGACGAAUAAGCCACGGCUAACUACGUGCCAGCAGCCGCGGUAAUACGGAGGGGGCAAGCGUUGUCCGGAUUGACUGGGUGUAAAGGGUGUGUAGGCGGGUAGGCAAGUAAGAGGUGAAAUAUUGGGGCUUAACCCAGUGUCUGCAUUUUAAACUGUAAUUCUUGAGUGCAGUAGAGGUAAGCGGAAUUCGGGGUGUAGCGGUGAAAUGCGUAGAUAUUAGGAGGAACACCAGUGGCGAAGGCGGCUUGCUGGACUGUAACUGACGCUGAGGCUCGAAAGUGUGGGGAGCAAACAGGAUUAGAUACCCGGGUAGUC